UGCAGUAUGCGGUUAAAGUGGAGCAGUAGUGACAUGGGUUUGUUAAUUGAAAGACAAAUUUCUUGAAUGUGCAUUCAGAUAAUAAGAUUUAUUUAUUUCUUCAUCUAUGAAUAAAAUGGCAUUUACUAAUUACUAACUAUAUAAUAAUUAUUUGAUGAUGAUAUGAUUAGGUCAUGAUGAUAAAUAGAUAGGUAGACGGGAGAUUUUGAUUUCAACGUGUAAAAGGAAAGGGAAGAAAGAAAGCGAGGGGGCUGAAUUCUAUAUAUAUUGCAUGGUAGAGAAGAAGAGAUAGGUGAGAGUGAUAUGGUCAUCUUUUUUGUAACCCAAGGCCCAGAAGUAGGGUAGGGGAGGUCUGCUACUUUUAUUGCUUUCUUUGUCCUUUUUACCCUUCAUCUCUCCUCCUCCUAGCCUUUUUAUCUCUUUCUUUUCCUUCCUCACUGUGAUCGUCACACUCUCUACACCCUCUUCUCUUUUCUCUCCCUUUUCUUCAAAAUCAGUGCUGAUUUAGAGUGUUUUGAGUUAAUUCGGUUCCUGAGAAGCUAUUUAUCUUUUGAGGGGAAUGUUGUCUGGCUCGAGGUCACUAAUUAGAUCUAUGAUUUUAUUUUUGCUUUUAAGAUAGAUCGUUGAUCGUAUUGUUAGUGACGUCGGACCAGGCUUCAUUCCCCCCAAUUGUUGCUUCCUCUCAAACUUGACCUAUGCCUAUAAUGCUAUUCCAAUUUUCCUUCCUUGAUCUUAAAAUAGAUACUCUCUGCUAAAGCUGGUGACUUUCUUGUGUUUCCAUGUAUUUUUUCUCUUCCAAAUUUGCUUAUAUGUGCUGAUGUGAUAGAUACCAAGAAUGCCUUUUGUGAAGCAUAUUAUGCUGCACUCUAGUUUUCACUGCUUAAAAGAAAGGUAAACUAAUAAAGUCUUUCAAACUCACAUCAGUACUUUAGUAGCCUCUUAUGACAAUAUACCUGGUUUAGUAUGUAUAUAAAACUGUAUCAAUGAUCGACGGGAAUGGAUCUGGAUUGACCUCAUACACGAGAAAUUUGUAGCCUCUUAUGUAGGCUUUUCUGCCUUGUUCCUGUAUUUCUUUGAGAAAAUCUCUGCUGAAUCCAAUAGCAUGUAAAAGAAAAGUUUAGAAAUCUAAACUUAGGUUUCUUUUCUAAUAUUUUGUUUGAUUAUCAAAAUGUAGAUGAUGCGAGAAAAACAAAAAAAAAAUUCUUAUAAAUAUAUUGGAUAAAAAUUGAAGUGCUUUCUUUAGCAAGGAAGCUGCUGUUUCUCGACUUCCAUGAAAGAACAGACAGUGUACAGAAAGAAAUAGAGAAAGGAAAACAGGUUUUGAUUGAAAAGCUGAAUGUGAAUGAGAGAAAACGUCACCGAGAGGACAAAGGUGAUGGGUCUUUUGAAGGAGAAGAAAGGGAAAGGGAAAGGGUGCCCUUAAUUUGUGUUUGUAGGAUGAUGUGUGUAUUUCCUGCCUUUCUUACUCAAUUCUGUCAUCAAUUUCUGAAUCUGAACCAUAUGCAACACUGAAUGCCUUUAUUAAUGGUCUGACUCUCUCUCUCUCUCUCCUCCUUCUCUCAUUAUUUACUAUUAUACAGUUUAGUCAACAUCAGCAUUGACGCCAUGGAUUCCUCUCUCCCUUUUCCCUUGGCUGUGAUAAAUUAAUGUAGACUAUGAUGUAUCUAUUAUUUGGCAGAACUGUGUAUGUUAUUAGAACCAGUGUUUGUGUAUUGUAUUUCAAGGACUUUUUAAGAUUCUAGUACACUAUUGUGUCAGCUUAAGUGGUGGAACCCCAUUCUCUUCACUACUUCAUCAUCUAAAACUAACCUCGUUGCCCUAUUCUUUUCCCUUGAACGGGCAUUAAAAUCCUCGUUAUUUUCUUUCUUCUAAA